rnacentral:lncRNA from 1 species
UGGUGGCUCAUGCCUGUAAUCCCAGCACUUUGGGAGGCUGAGGCAGGCAGGUCACGAGGUCAAGAGAUCAAGACCAUCCUGGCCAACAUGGUGAAACCCUGUCUCUACUAAAAAUACAAAAAUUAGUCGACUCACUGCAAUCUCUGCCUGCCAGGUUCAGGCGAUUCUCCUGCCUCAGCCUGGGACUACAGGCGCAUGCCACCACACCCAGC